CAGCCGCCACGGGAAUACGAAGGGUGCAAGCGUUAAUCGGAAUUACUGGGCGUAAAGCGUGCGUAGGCGGCUUCUUAAGUCGGAUGUGAAAUCCCUGAGCUUAACUUAGGAAUUGCAUUCGAUACUGGGAAGCUAGAGUAUGGGAGAGGAUGGUAGAAUUCCAGGUGUAGCGGUGAAAUGCGUAGAGAUCUGGAGGAAUACCGAUGGCGAAGGCAGCCAUCUGGCCUAAUACUGACGCUGAGGUACGAAAGCAUGGGGAGCAAACAGGAUUAGAUACCCCUGUAGUCCCUGUCUCUUAUAC
rnacentral:rRNA from 1 species